CUACGGGCGGCAGCAGUGAGGAAUAUUGCACAAUGGGGGAAACCCUGAUGCAGCAACGCCGCGUGGAGGAUGACGCAUUUCGGUGUGUAAACUCCUUUUAUGAGUCAAGAAAAUGACGGUAGCUCAUGAAUAAGCACCGGCUAACUCCGUGCCAGCAGCCGCGGUAAUACGGAGGGUGCAAGCGUUACUCGGAAUCACUGGGCGUAAAGGACGCGUAGGCGGGCUUGUAAGUCAGGUGUGAAAUCCUACAGCUUAACUGUAGAACUGCACUUGAAACUACGAGCCUAGAGUAUGGGAGGGGCAGGUGGAAUUAGUGGUGUAGGGGUAAAAUCCGUAGAUAUCACUAGGAAUACCGAAAGCGAAGGCGAUCUGCUGGAACAUUACUGACGCUAAGGCGUGAAAGCGUGGGGAGCAAACGGGAUUAGAUACCCCGGUAGUC
rnacentral:rRNA from 1 species